GCUGGUGAGCCCCGAGGCAACACUGGCUGGCUUUUUUUUUUUUUUUUACUAUCAGUUGAUAUCUAUGUCUAGAGUAAAUUACAUUUCCUUCUGUCUUCCCCUUUCAAACUUUCUUCUGCCUUUCCUGCAACAUGGGGUUGAUGGAGUGACAUAUGAAUCAAUAGCUCCCUCAGAGAUCUCCAAACUUACCACAGACUUUUCUUUUUAAUGUCCAAGUGUCAGAUCUCUGUCUUUGAAUGAUUCUUUGUUCAUUCCCUAUUGGAAUGCACAUAAAUGUCAAAUCAGAGGCAACCUGAGCUAAUAAAGGUCUCUGAAGCCAGUAUUUUCACACCAGUCUCCGGAUUAGAGUCCAGUUCUCAAGUGGAUCUAGCCAAAGCCUGAGUAUAAGAUGCUCCAGAGAAGGACGUCUCUUGAAUCCUGCAGGUGACAAAGCUAAUGAAAUCCCAGCAUUGGCAGGUACUUGCAGGUAUCCCCUUCGCUCCUUCUCUGAGAUCCCUCCUUGUAUUUCCUGUGCAAGCAAUGUUUUCCUGCUUUUGAUUUAAAAUCUUCAGCCCUGCCUCAGUUUUAGAUCCUAUACAUCUUGUAGAUUUACAUACGAGGAAUAUAAUUUGAUUUGGGAACCAGUAUCAAUGAAGUCUAACAUUGACUGUCUUCCUAUUAUCAUAGGGCUGCCAUCAAUGCUUUCAAAGUCUAACUUUCCAAUCCAUAUUUUAUAGUCAUCUUGCCUUGGGAAAUAAUAGUUCACAUGGGGUGUUUUAUCUUCCAUGUAUACCAGUUCCUUUCUAUGAGGCCAGGCAAGUGAUGAGAGUCUUGGAACAUUGUUUCUCUGUAGUUUUGGACUAAUAUUUCAUCUCACUAUUGCAAGAAAUUUAGCCAUUACAUUUUUGUAACGUGCCUCGACAAUGUUUCCUACUCUGCCUGACUCUUAUUCUUCAUCAUUUUGUUCCUGCCACUCACUUCACUAUGUCAUGUCAUAACUUUUUCUACAGAAGUACUGUUUUGUCUGAGUUUCUCCUUUUAACUAAAAAUGUUUCUUGCCAUUCUUUUUUUUUUCUCUUCUUUUUUU
ensembl:lncRNA